rnacentral:misc_RNA from 1 species
GAUGAAGAACGCAGCGAAAUGCGAUAAGUAGUGUGAAUUGCAGAAUUCAGUGAAUCAUCGAAUCUUUGAACGCACAUUGCGCCCUUUGGUAUUCCUUAGGGCAUGCCUGUUCGAGCGUCAUUUAAACCUUCAAGCUAAGCUUGGUGUUGGGUCACUGUCCGCUUCACGGCGGACUCGCCUCAAAAUUAUUGGCGGCCGGUACAUUGGCUUCGAGCGCAGCAGAAACGCGAACUCGGGCCCGUCGUAUUGGCUCCCAGAAGCUAUCUUCACAAUUUUGACCUCGGAUCAGGUAGGGAUACCCGCUGAACUUAAGCAUAUCAAUAAGCGGAGGA